rnacentral:tRNA from 1 species
GGGGAAGCAGCUCAGUUACAGAGCAUGUGCCUCACAUGCACAAGGCCCUGGGUUCAAUUCCCCAUUCCACCA